UCAGGACGAACGCUGGCGGCGUGCCUAACACAUGCAAGUCGAGCGAGGAGAUCCUUCGGGAUGAUCCUAGCGGCGGACGGGUGAGUAACACGUGGGCAACCUGCCUCAUAGAGAGGAAUAGCCUUCCGAAAGGGAGAUUAAUACCUCAUAACAUUGCAGUUUCGCAUGGAACAGCAAUUAAAGGAGUAAUCCGCUAUGAGAUGGGCCCGCGGCGCAUUAGCUAGUUGGUGAGGUAACGGCUCACCAAGGCGACGAUGCGUAGCCGACCUGAGAGGGUGAUCGGCCACAUUGGGACUGAGACACGGCCCAGACUCCUACGGGAGGCAGCAGUGGGGAAUAUUGCACAAUGGGGGAAACCCUGAUGCAAGCAACGCCGCGUGAGUGAUGACGGCCUUCGGGUUGUAAAGCUCUGUCUUCAGGGACGAUAAUGACGGUACCUGAGGAGGAAGCCACGGCUAACUACGUGCCAGCCGCUGC
rnacentral:rRNA from 1 species